UACGGAGGGUGCGAGCGUUGUCCGGAAUCACUGGGCGUAAAGGGCGCGUAGGCGGCUUGGUAAGUCCGUGGUGAAAGCUCGUGGCUCAACUGCGAGUCGGCCAUGGAUACUCCUAAGCUCGAGUCGACUAGAGGCAGAUGGAAUUCCGGGUGUAGCGGUGGAAUGCGUAGAGAUCCGGAAGAACACCGGUGGCGAAGGCGGUCUGCUGGGGUCGAACUGACGCUGAGGCGCGACAGCGUGGGGAGCAAACAGG
rnacentral:rRNA from 1 species